UUUUUUUUUUUGAGUCGUGGAUACAUCAAUAUGUUGUUUGUAGACAAAAAUCAUUUAUGAAAAAUAUUUUUGCAACUCUUUUAUUUAAGAGUUAACAAUGUAAGGGUCAAAGUUAAAAAUCUUUAACUUUUCGUAGAAUUCCACUUCCUAAAUUCCAAGUUUCUUCUCAAAUUCCUCACAUAUACGUCCUCAUUAUGAUCCUCAAAAGAUCUCAUGAUUCCACUCCGAAUAUUGUGGAGCUAUGCUAAUAUACUACAAGUGUACCUCCAUCAUGCCCCUGUCAACUAAUGCAUCCAUUAAAAACAAAGACUACUCACGGAAUGAAAUCAAUGAAUAAUGCAGUUUCAAACAUGGCUGUAGGGUGUUUGGAACUGCUCCACAAACUCUGCUCCAUAAACUCAACCAUGAAGCAGCUCCACAAAAAAGAAAUUGAAAUUUAUGAAAUACCUCUUUAGAUGCUCUCACAACUCCGCUCUUUUUCUUCGAACUGAGUGCGUAGGGCUGAAACCGUUUGGCUAAAAAACAUGGAGCAGAGAACGGUCCCAAUCUUCCAAAGGUAGUAUGUAGUGUAGCCACAGGUAAUCGAUCGAACCUGUCAUUUUGCAGUUUUUAAACUGGCGUCAUCAUCUGGCAGCUAACAGCUGCGUGUCACGCUCAACGAAAUAAUGCAGAAUGUAGAGUAGCGACUAGCGUAAGGAAACCAUGCAUUAACGACGCGCAUAAUCAGGUGGAGUCACGUCGGUACAGCUUGGACGACGAGGUGGUGCCCCGGCCCCCCUGCCGCGCGCGCCUUAAAUAAUCACGCGCGUGCGCGCACACCCCCAACCGCGAGCUCCACCGACAUUGACGCGUCGUUACACCAUGUACGCACUGCAACGAGAUCGCGUAUAAGUAUGUCGCCAACGCGACGGCCACGGCUCAGUGCACCGUGCAAAAGAUCGAGGCGAGAGUAAACUGUAACAACAGCAUCACAUGGCGUCGUUGACGGUCGUGUCCCUGCUUGUAGCGUCGGCGGCGAUGAUGACGAUGAUGAUGAGCGGUGGCGGCGGCGGCGGCGUGCAGGCGCAGCCGAUUGUGCCGGCGGUCAUCUCGUUCGGCGACUCCACCAUCGACGUCGGCAACAACAACUACCUCCCCGGCGCCGUGUUCAAGGCCGACUACGCGCCGUACGGGCAGGACUUCGUGAGCCACGAGGCCACCGGCCGCUUCUCCGACGGCAAGAUCGUCACCGACAUCACCGGUUACUAUAUAUGCUACCACUGUAGACUGUACUGGUUAUGACGGCAGGGGCUGUGUGACGAACGAGUUCGAUCGUUCUGUUGGGUAAUUUGUUGUUGCAGCUGAAACGCUCGGCUUCGAGAGCUACGCGCCGCCGUACCUCAGCCCGCAGGCGUCCGGGAAGAACCUGCUCAUCGGCGCCAACUUCGCCUCCGCGGCGUCCAGCUACUACGACGACACGGCGGCCAUGUAUGUAAGUACCAUGCAAAAUUAAAAGAAAAUGAUUGCUACAACAAACCCAUUUUUAGCAGGAUACUGUAUAUGGAUGCUGUUGCUUGUUGAGGCUAUCUAGUGACGGGUAGGUGUGUAUAUGUUUGGGGCCUUGUUGUUGUGUGCACACGUGCAGGACGCGAUCACGCUGACCCAGCAGCUCAAGUACUACAAGGAGUACCAGUCGAAGCUGGGCGCGGUGGCCGGGCGCGCCAAGGCUGGCGCCAUCCUCGCCGACGCGCUCUACGUCGUCAGCACGGGCACCGGCGACUUCCUCCAGAACUACUACCACAACGCCUCCCUGUCCCGCCGCUACAACGUCCACCAGUACUGCGACCUCCUCGCCGGCAUCUUCUCCGGCUUCGCCAACGUACGUCAUCAGAGACUCGGGCAUGUCCAUCAGCUAGCGUCAUUCAUGUGUGCCGCCGGUCGCCAUCCUUGGCGUCGUGCUGAACGCGACCGAAUCUGCGUUGGUUGCAUGCGCAGGAGCUGUACAGGCUGGGAGCGCGGCGGAUCGGCGUCACGUCCAUGCCGCCGCUGGGCUGCCUGCCGGCGUCCAUCAGGCUGUACGGCGAGGGCAAGGACGCGUGCGUGCCGAGGCUCAACCGCGACGCCGAGACCUUCAACCAGAAGCUGAACGCCACCGUCAGGGCGCUCAAGCGGCGGCACGCCGACCUCAAGGUCGCCAUCUUCGACAUCUACACGCCCCUCCGCCAGCUCGCCCAAGACCCGGCGGCUUAUGGUACGUGUUCCAUAUAUAAUGUCGUACGUGAUCACGCCAUGGUUAUACUAUAUAGCUAGUAACAUAUAUGGCCAUUUAUUUAGGCUUCGGGAACGCGAGGGGUACGUGCUGCCAGACGGGGACGGCCAAGACGAGGGUGUACCUCUGCAACCCGACGACGGCCGGAACGUGCCGGAACGCCAGCAGCUACGUGUUCUUCGACGGCGUCCACCCGUCGGAGGCUGCCAACGUCUUCAUGGCGGAGUCCAUGGUCGACGCGGGCAUCGAGCUGGUCACCUAGGAACCAUGGCGUCGAUCGAUAACACAGCUGCAGAUGCCGCAGCGAUAGACGGUGGACCAUAGACGUGUGUGUCUCUGCUCAUCUGUUUCCUGCUCCAUCGAACAAAACUACAGUGUCUGGAAUUAAUUACUAAUAGCCUGUGAAAUUGCACCGUCGGCCGGCCCUGUCGUUUUCGUAAUGUUGUUAAUUAAUCAUAAUAUGCGUGACAGUUUCCUGUUCCAUCCAAGAAAACAACAGUGCCUUGAAUAGCCUGUGAAACUGCACCGUCGCCCUACCAUUUUUGUAAAUAUUGUUAACCAUAUACUCUCUGUUUUCCUAUAUAUACAUCAGACGUUUCUAAACAAGUACUAGUGAGUGGCGUGUCGGCCUUGUUUAGUUCAAAAAAAAAUUUGCAAAAUGAACACCAUAGUACUUUCGUUUGUAUUUGACAAAUAUUGUCCAAUCAUAGAUUAACUAGGCUCAAAAGGUCCGUCUCACAAAUUACAGGUAAACUAUAUAAUUAGUUAUUAUUUUUAUCUAUAUUUAAUACUCCAUACAUGCGCCGCAAGAUUCGAUGUGAUCAUGACUUUUUUUUUCUUGAUUUUUCAUAUCCAAGUCUAGCACAUAAUUUACUGAUAGUAGUACCUCACAGAUGCUCCUAGCAAUGUUAUGGGGCAUUAACGAUAUAAUAUUAUCACAAAAUUUAAAGUGCGCAACAAACUAACAACAAAUACACUGAAUUUCUCAAUUCAAUAAUAACUGACUAUAUUUACUAACAAAGUUUAGUCAGCAAUUUCAACUUCGUGUUUUGACGAUGGAUUCAUACACAGAGUCUAAACACAACAGCCAACGAUAAACUGUACAUACAUCAAAGCCGUAAACUGACUAGCUGCAAGCCUGCAACAGCCUACAGGAGUACAGGUAUAUAUCAAAUCUAGCAGCUGAAAUUAAUGCUGAUGUCCUAAGGAAACACAAUUUAUUCGCCUGCAUUAACUCGAAAGGGAAAUAACACGUUACCUGCAGUCUGCAGACCAUUUGUGCAUUGUGCUCCGGUGUCUCAACUAGCAGAGGGAAAGGGCAGUGUUCAGAGUAGACUAUUCUUUCCCAGAACCCAUACCGGAAUCAUGAACAUUGCGCCUGAACACGUUAUGUAGUACAUUACAUGCUGCUUUCGUAUGACAAGCUGUUCCAGUGUUCCUGGCAAGAGGUUAAGGAUUCGUUAACAGAAACAUGUAUAACCGAGUGAGAGCAAGAAGAAAUGAAAACCUGGAACACUGAAAUACAGGUCAGGCAAACGAGUUCAAUCAUGCACGUACUUGAUGUUUCCUUUAAUUUCCUCUUCAUGGGAAUUGGGUCGACCUUGAAGUGAAUAAAAAAAGUAUAACCAAAGCACCAUCACCAGCAUUACUAUUAUCUGGUUUGGGUGUCUGAAAUAGGAGUCAGCCAUGCAAACCUAGAACCCUGAAAAUAGAAACCAACUAUUCAAAAGUGGGGACAUGAAUAACAUUAGCAAGUGAUAAAACCAUAGUCCUUAACAACUACGAACAAUAGCUAGCAUUCAUGACUUUGAGCAAGAGGUGCAAUUAUUAAAUUUAUUCUCAGUUCCAGCUGAUGGCUGCCGCUGGCCCACUAUUAAUGGCUCCUCAGACAGCAGUGGCGCGGUGCAGCAUGUGUGGAGACGUGAAUAGUUGCUGGAAUCAGGGAAACGAAAGAGAAAUGUAGCAAUUAAUUGGGUCGGCAGAAAUUUGACACUAAUCCACAAUUUCACAAAGUUUAAUUUCUUUUACGAAAGUUCUAAAACUACCGUAUGCAAUUUCAUGUUAGCAAAGUUAAAGAUGUAGGCAGGAAAAUCCUACCUCCCCAGAACAAUUCUCCAGUCUGGCAAGGCAAAAUUAAAACUAGUAAAUCAACUCAACUUGUCUCGGUUGUUAUGUUUGAAUCCAAUACAUCAAGAUUCCUUCAAGAUGUUUUGGCUCCUGUCCUCUCCAUGUGAUGUUAGAUGUCACUAGCUUGGAGCAAAGUAUGAAUGUAAGGAAGUAAGUUAUAGUAACACUUGCAAAGAGAAAAAGGUGUAAAAUAACUUGUUCCUCAAAAGUAAUUUGAUAUUUUAAUGUUCACAUGAACAGCUCAAAAGCUUUCAUAUUGCAACAAGCACCAUUUGUAGUAAGUCCAUUCCAAAAAAUAAGUUGGCCAAGUAACCUUAGACUUUGCAAUCAGAAACAUAGUCGACAGGGUGCAUUGUAAGAGCUCUUGACAGUACAUUACUGUGGCAACUGGAAAGUUCCAGGUUGGAGUUAGUAGCUACAUUUGCAAGUCAACUUUUACUACUUCCCUUGUCCGUGCUAUAUCUCAUAUUUAUAUAUAUUCCAGAUAUUACUUUAAGUUAGCUAUAACUUUUAAGUUAUCUAUAACUGACACAUAUUAUAUUAAAUUAUCUUUGAACUGAUUAGGAUUUAUUGCACUCUUUAAAUGGACACGACUUACCGUUCUGGAGGGAAAUGAUCGUUAUCUGCAAUGGAUCUGGCCCAGCUCAACAGUUCAGAGUUCAGACUAUUGUGCUGUGCUUUCUUCAACCACAUUACCAUUACCAGCAGAAUGGAGGCUGGCAAUCAAUUUAGACAUUCAAAUAUUCAAGAGCUGCAUAAAAUCCCUGGUCACUGCUACACAGGAAGAUUAAACCUCUUGUUCAUUUCAAGGAUAACAUCCCCAAAUAUCUCACAGCCUUGCCCAUUCUUAUUCCAGUUUAAUAACCUAUUAUGAAGAUCAAUCACAAGAUCCUUAUCUUGAUUUGCCUGUUCCAACACCUUAAAUAAUGACUUUACACACUUGAGCAUGUAUGGGCCUGUCUUGUUUCUGAGUUGGCUGACAAAACGAUGACAUUUAUCUUCGCAAUCAAAUAUCAAUGAGGACAUAUCCUCAACUACGUCAAGCCAGCCAAAUAUGAGAUAUGGUCCAAUCAAAGGCCAUCUCUUAGCAGUACCAAUGCAGCUGCCUAAGAAACCAUCAUUACUGGCAUGAUCUUUUGUUUGUAUUUGUGCUUCAUUUGACCCCAGAACCUGCCCUGUGCUUGUGUAGCGCAGAAGGAUGUCACAGUUCUGCUCGUUAAUAUAACUAGGUGAUGCGAGCAAUACUCCUAAAGGAAUCCACUGAUGCAACAGGUUAAAGUACGAGGGAUGGAGGUCCAAUAGUUUUCCAACUUGCACUUGAGGAAAGGCAGUUGUCCUGCAACAUUUUACACAGUGAUCAUCAAAUUCUUUAACCAGGGAGCUUACAGUGUUUAUUGGCACAUGGAAUUUCUCUGAACUCGCAGCUGUGGGUAUUCGCAGUUUCCUCCUAUGAUUCACAGUACUUUGGUACCCUAGGCACCUUUUGUUGUUCCUAGCCCAAGAACGUGAUAUUUCCAAAAUAUUGUUUGAUAGCACCUCGCAUUGAUCAUCAUUAGAAGGGCAUAGCACCCAAGAAAGGUAAAAGGCUGCCCUCUGAACAAGACUGACAUCACUUAUUGAUUCAACAGUUAUUUCUUUGGAUAAUGUUUCUGAUAAAUAAUCUUGUGAGCCUUCUCUGUAGAAAAGUAAAGCAGUUGCAAAACUGAACCAAACAGGGAAAUUGAUAAUCAUGCACCUGCAGAACCACAGUUAUAGCAGGUGCAGUUAACUUCUGUCAGACAAAUGCUAAACAUCUACUCCUAGCUGUGUUGCAUAUUUAAAAACACAUACCAAGCAGAAUUGUAAUUUACCAAUCCCUUCGAUGGUUGUAGUUGUAAGUUUUUCUGCGAAGAGCAUCUAGUUCUUGAGUUGUCCAAAUGAACCAAGGCACUGAUAUAAGAAACUAGGUCCAAAAAACCUUUACAAGAUAAGGGUCCCGUUAGUAUCGCAAGCAAGUCACUUUGUUGGUUUGGGAAGUAAGCAUGUGAAAAGGGGAAUCUCUGCCCUAAUUCUAUGCAUAUUCCCCAUGACAUAGGCUUGAGAAGAAUGUCUAAUGCCGAUGAUACCAAUGCAUUGUGAAGUUCUAGCACAGAACCCAAACCCCUGCACAAAAGGAUGAAUAAAGAGAUUUUACAAGCAGUCCUUAAACAGUGAGCCCUAACAAGUUCAGACAAUAUAUAGAGAUGUGUAAAUGUAACAUCCAUAAUAGUGUUGUUGGGAAAAUAUCAUUUAGGGAUACAGAAAGCAAGGAUACAAAAAAACCUAAAAAUUCAGUCAAAUUAAUUUCUUUGGCAAAUGUAAGGUCAAAAUUGGAACUAAAAAUUAAGUGACAACUGACAAAUGUGGAAUAAGUUUGAUACUGUUCAUCAUGAAAUCUGUUUCAAACCACUUUCCUAAGAUAACUUUAACCCAUGGCCUGUUUAGUGCAUUCCUAAUUUUGCCUCGCCUAUGCUUAGUCAUGUUGGAGUUUCUGAAAUAACUAUUUGGUGGACUGAGACUGACAUGAUGUGGCAAGCCACUCUUAACCUUUGCUGCUCUGCAGUUCUAUUUGUGAGAUUAAGUAUGUGUAGAAGCCCAUUGACCGCGACCAAGACACAUCAAACUCAGUGCAAACAAGAGUAUAGGGCAUUUCAUAUGAGUGUUUGAGGUGUGAACUUACGUUGCUAGAAACCAGAAGUGUAAAAGUGAUCUCAUCUCCAUAAAUAUUGUUGGGGAGCAAACCAGGCAAAUUAUGAUGAUACGCCAUUCCAUCCUAUUAUACAAUUCCUUUCUCAGGCAAAGCAAGGGCCUUCUAAUUACCUCCUGGAGAAUUGCUGAGAGAUCAUGCCUGAUAAUUGAUGGAUCAAGAUGCCAUAAAAGCAACCUGCCACAGACAGAAGAUAUGACUAAAUCAGUAUACUCCAUGAGUGCACUGGCGGAGCUCAAAGGGGAUUUAAGAGGGGGCCAACAGUAUUUAAAUUAUAGCUGAUGUGUAAAUCUUAAUUACUUCCUAAGCAUUAACCAUAGAUAUUAUUAAAAAUUCAAUUGUCAAUGGCGGGGCCAUGGCCCACUUUAGCCUCAAUGUAGCUCCGCCACUGCAUGAGUGACAACAAAGAUACACUUAAGCAUAAUUAUAGAAGUCCAUGCAGUGACAAUAUAGAUACACUUAAGCAUAAUUAAGAUGGUACUGCCUGUCAGUGUACUACAAUAAAAAUAAAGUAGAGUGGCUUGUUGGUGAGCAACAACACUACAGAUCAGGUGCGGAGACGGCCGCUGCUGCCGGGGCUAUAGCACCGGCCCUAGAGCACAAAAUGUUCGAUGACAUAUUACUUUGGUAGCUCAGUGCAAAUAUAUUAUACAUAGAAUUAAAUAUGUGUUAAUCAUAUAUGAGAUCUGCAGUAUACUUAGCACCCCUCUUGGCUAAGUUCUGGCUCCGCCCCUGCUACAGAGAUUAUUAUCCAGUAAGCACAAAUUGCACUCCAAGCUUUGAGCCCCCUUCGCACUUUACAAGCACUCCUCAAAUUCCAAAUGUAAGUUGUUUUAGAAUCUGUGUUGGUCAAACACUCAAACUUCUUAAAAUUUUCACCAUCAAUAUAUAAACAGAUAUUAAGACUGAGAACAUAAAGUUGAUAUUACUACACUCCUCAAUCCUCAUUAUAAAUCCUUUCACAAUUUGUAAUUCAUUUUUCUGGUAGUAACAUAUUUUCACAGAAAUCACUAGUCAAAGUGUCAGAUUAGAGACCAUGGCAAUGUCCUAAAUGACUUACCUUGGAAUCGGAGGGACUGUUUCAGUAUUCCUACUACACAUUUGCAGCAAAGAAAUGGUGUACAUUUAAUAAUAGCACAGAAACUACAAUACUAACACAUCUUUUACUUCCUUAAAUCUUCCUUUUAUUAAUAGCACACAAUGAUCCACAUGCCGCAAGUAUACUGCAUACCUUGGUGGGAUUGAGUGGUCACUAGGAAGGACGAGAUUGGAAGGAUGUUUUAUUAACUCCGCAGCAAUGGUUCCCAUAUGAGAUACUCUUUCUCCCUCUUCCUUAUAAUAUGGUAAAGGGAAAAGACACUGGUAGUGAGGAGAUAGCACGACCGUUUUCGCAACAGCAUACAACAGAUCAUAAGAGUGCCUUCCAUCUACAUUGAAGAAAUAAAAGUGUCAACAUUAACAAAAAAAAACAGAUAAUCAACCUACAUGGAGAAAAUAUCAUUUAUAAGCUGAUCUCUCAACAUUGAAACAGCUCACAAGUACUCCUAAACAUUAUGAAUGUCACAUCAUCUGACCACAGCAUUGGUGGGCACUUCCUGUGACAUUGACAUGCCUGAUUGCAAAUGUGUCGGAAGAGAGCCGUGUAAAAAAAAAAAUAUCACCAUCACAGUCCCUCAAUUUCUCCACAAGGGUUGCACACGAUUGGAGUAGCUCCUGGCAAUCCACGGGCGACAGGGAACUCCCGACACAGAGCAUCUCCUCACCAGCGUCCCCAUCAGGCCGGACCACACGGCACGAGACUGACGCCGAUAGCACGGAGACGAGGGUGCGGACAAGGCAGUCGACGCGGGCGCUAUUCACCUGCAUACACACGCAGUUCCAUCAGCACGAUGGUUCAACUAAAAUGCCAACAGUGCUAACGAUCCAAUAGUGGAUACGACGAGGGUGUCGCCUUACCUCCAGCGGGUCGAAGCACAUGAGGGAGAGCGCGGCGUCCAGAACCCUGGUUCCGGAUGAAGCGCUGUUUCCGCCGUCGGGACUGGGGUUGAGGGCGGCGGCGAGGGAGGAGAUGGAGGCCGAGAGGGAGUCUCCGGAGGAGGAGGAACCGCCGCCGGCGGGUGGCUGGGAGAGGCGCGCGGCGAGCUCGGCGAGUACACGGGUGAGGUCUUCGAGGGGAGGCGCCAUUUUCGUGGAGCGGAGCAGCGGGAGCCGGGAGGGAAUGGACCGGUGGCCGCCGUGAGAACUGAGAACGGAAAGGGAACUCCAGCGUGGUCGUGGUAGUGUGCGACGGGAAUUGGAGAAUGGGCUGAAAUAAAUCGGGUCAUCUCCUGCGAGUCGGCCCAUAACAAUUCUCCAAGGAAAGGUUCAAGGAGAGGACCCUCGGACUCUCUCGGAGCCAUGAAACAUGGCUCCUCGCGAGGUGCUCCUCAAGAGGGAAAGCACUGCAAGAGGAGUCAGGCCGUGUUUAGUUCGGAAAAAUUUUGCGAUACUGUAGCAUUUUCAUUUGUUUGUGAUAAUUAUUGUCCAACCAUAGAUUAACUAGGUUUAAAAAAUUCGUCUUAUCAAUUCCGACCAAACUGUGCAAUUAGUUUUUAUUUUCGUCUAUAUUUAAUACUUCAUGCAUGCAUCUAAAGAUUCAAUGUGACGGGAAAUCUUGAAAAAUUUUGGGUGGAAGUACUUGAACCAAAAAAUUUCGUGACACUAUAGCACUUUCGUUUGUUUGUGUUAAUUAUUGUUCAACUAUGGACUAACUAGGCUCAAAAGAUUCGUCUUAUCAAUUCCGACCAAACUGUGCAAUUAGUUUUUAUUUUCAUCUAUAUUUAAUACUUCAUGCAUACGUCUAAAGAUUCGAUGUGACGGGAAAUCUUGAAAAAUUUUACGUUUUUGGGUGGAACUAAACAAGGCCUUAGUUUUCAAAAAUUUUCAAGAUUCUCUAUCACAUCGAAUCUUAUGACAUAUGCAUGAAACAUUAAAUAUAGAUAAAAAAAAUAACUAAUUGCACAAUUACUUAUAAUUUGUAAGACGAAUCUUUUGAGUCUAGUUAGUCUAUGAAUGAAUAAUAAUUGCUAAUAAAAACGAAAAUGCUACAGUAAUAAAUCCAAAAAAAUUUCGCAAACUAAACAAGGCCUUAAGUUCGGCUCCUGGUAGAGUCAUAGCCAUGCCAAACAGUCCCUAAUUACUUCUCCUUUUAUUCUCUCUUACAAAAAAGUAGCUCCUUUUGUUAUCUCUUAAAAAAACAAGAGCUCCUCCAGGCUCUGAUCUUUAGUUUGACAGAGAUCUGGAUUUUCUGUAUAACCUUGUUGCUAGCGAUUUGGGCAACAUAGAGGCCAAUGCCCAAUGGAAAUCCUUUUUCCAGUUCAAAAGAAAAGGAAAAUGGAAAUCUUUUCUCCAGUUCAAAAGAAAAAGAAAAAUGAUUGCCCCAGCUUGUGCUCUAUGCAACUGAUGUUUGAACAGCACUGGCUCAUCAAGUCAUCACCAAUUCAUCAUUAAGGAGCAUGCCCCCACCCCCACCCCCCAGAAAAAAAAACAGAGAUACAACCAAUGACACAGUAAAACUUACAAUGUUCUACAGUUUGAGAUACUUCAAUUAUACAGAUGCUGAUGUAAAACACUAGGAUUUUAGGCAAGAAACUGCACAAGACCUUCUCAGAAUCUUCCUUUGCAAACAGAAUAUGGCAAGCGCAUUGCACCCAGAAUGCGGCACAGCAGAAAUCAGGUUACUCAUACAGUGUGACUAACAUUCAACAAGUGAAACUGUUGCACGGCACAAAAUCAUACUUAGGGAAAACUCGAUUGUCAUUCUUAUUCCUAAGAUAAAAACACAUGGAGUGAAAAAUUGCUCCUGUAACUUAAUGACUAUGGCGUCCUUUCUCUUUUGAACCUCUGGAGAGGCAAUUUCAUACUUCUCGACCAAUCCAUGGGUCAUAUCAUUUUGUUUCUGCCUUUGAAGCGUCUUCUUUUGCGUCUUUUCCAGAUACAGCAGCAGACGCUGCAGCUGUCACAGCUGCAGCAGCUGCACCAAUUUUGACACCUCCAGCAGCUUUCAUCGCCCCACCAAUCUUUGCAAAUGCUGCUACCCCACCAACUAGGGCAGCACGCAGAGCUACCAUCGGUCUGACCUCCAUGGUAUAUCCUG
rnacentral:lncRNA from 1 species